UUAGGUAUUUGGAUGAGAUUUUGAGCAACAAUGUCGGUUGAGUUUCGUCUAAUAUUUAGUGCGAAAUCAAUUUGAUUGAUGGGGUACCAAAUGACCAUUGAUUUACAAAGACCCACAUCUUUACAAAUCUACUAAGUUUUCCAACUGCUAACCUUUAUAGCCUACUAAAAAUUAUCAAUGUACACCUAAGUAGCUAACCAUACCAAACCAGAAAUUCUACAGAAAAGCUGGGACUGAUUUUGUCAGGAAAACUCCACUAAUAUUUUUUCAUACCAAGAACUCCACACUGAUUGAUAUAUUAUAUUUAUGUCUACAUGUUAUGCUUGGAGAUAUAGUACACAAUGCUUGGAGAUAUAGUCACACUUUAUUUUUUCCCAAUUGCAGUUUCGCCAAUGAAAAAGCCAAAGGUUUAUGUGACUUCUUCAUUAAGGUCUAACAAGAAAGUAUCUGGUUUGGUGGACAAAGGUAACUUAAAACAAUCAUUGACAUUAUAGCUCAUAGAUGAAGAUAAUGAAUCCAGAAUGUUGUUUUUAUUUCAUUUAUCAGUGGAAAGCUGCAAAAGAGGAGAAAGAGGAAUGUAAAACUCUGUUAGAAAUUCUUGAAAAGAAGAGACAACAAGAGAUUGAGGGAUGGUGCACGCAGCAGAGUGCAAGUGGGGAGAUACGGAAGCUAUUGUGGCGACAAUGAAAGAAAACCAGAUUAACUCUCGGAGAGGGCCAAGCCUGUUUGGCAUGUUGGUAACGAAUAAGUCUUGGCAACAUUAUGCACAAUAGGCAAAUCACCAGCAAUAUGUUGUUCCCAGGUCACCGUAUGCUGUAAUUUAAAAACAACGCCACCACCACCAACAUGUCGUCUUUCUUGAUUCCUGCUCCUCUUGAAGCUUAGAACAUCAAAGCUGAUUGCGCUCGAGAGGCAACCAUAGCUGGAUUUAAAGUUGCAGUAAUGGCUUAUGUUGUUGCCAGUGCUACUGUGGUAUGUGUGUUGUUCGGAUCAGUAACCGUGUUUUUCUAAUUUAUUUGUCUGAGUACUGUAAUAAUUUUAGUGGAAUUUUUCAAGCUUUUUAUUUGUUGUUAAAUUCAUGGAAGUAGAAUUUAUAGUAUACUUGAAAAUCCAGAAGAAUUGUAACAAGUUGACCUUAGUGAUUAUAAGUAAGAGAAUCGAAACCCAAA